GUCUACAGCCAUGCUACCCUGAACACACCUGAUCCCUUCUGAUCUCGGAAGCUAAGUAGGGUCGGGCCUGGUUAGUACUUGGAUGGGAGACCACCUAGGAAGACCAGGUGCUGUAGGCG
rnacentral:rRNA from 1 species